rnacentral:rRNA from 1 species
UACGAAGGGGGCUAGCGUUGUUCGGAAUUACUGGGCGUAAAGCGCGCGCAGGCGGCUUCUCAAGUCAGGGGUGAAAGCCCAGAGCUCAACUCUGGAAUUGCCUUUGAGACUGAGUGGCUUGAGUACGGGAGAGGUGAGUGGAAUUCCCAGUGUAGAGGUGAAAUUCGUAGAUAUUGGGAAGAACACCGGUGGCGAAGGCGGCUCACUGGCCCGUAACUGACGCUCAUGCACGACAGCGUGGGGAUCAAACAGG